CUUCCGUAGGUGGCCUGCGGAAGGAUCAUUACCGAGUUUUCGGGCUUCGGCUCGACUCUCCCACCCUUUGUGAACGUACCUCUGUUGCUUUGGCGGCUCCGGCCGCCAAAGGACCUUCAAACUCCAGUCAGUAAACGCAGACGUCUGAUAAACAAGUUAAUAAACUAAAACUUUCAACAACGGAUCUCUUGGUUCUGGCAUCGAUGAAGAACGCAGCGAAAUGCGAUAAGUAAUGUGAAUUGCAGAAUUCAGUGAAUCAUCGAAUCUUUGAACGCACAUUGCGCCCCUUGGUAUUCCGGGGGGCAUGCCUGUUCGAGCGUCAUUACAACCCUCAAGCUCUGCUUGGAAUUGGGCACCGUCCUCAUUGCGGACGCGCCUCAAAGACCUCGGCGGUGGCUGUUCAGCCCUCAAGCGUAGUAGAAUACACCUCGCUUUGGAGCGGUUGGCGUCGCCCGCCGGACGAACCUUCUGAACUUUUCUCAAGGUGACCUCGGAUCAGGUA
rnacentral:rRNA from 1 species